GUUCAAGCAAUUCUCCUGCCUCAGCCUCCCGAGUAGCUGGGAUUACAGAAGCAAGCAACUAUGUUGUGAUCAGCCCCUGGAGAGGGUCAUGUGGCAGGAAAUGGUAGGUGGCUCCAGGACCUGAGGGAAGACAGCAGUCAGCAAGACACAGGGUGCCUUCCAUCAUCGGUUGCAAGGAAAUGAAUUCUGCCAAGUUGGACGAGCUUGACAGCAGAUUAUUCCCCACUCGCACCUCCAGAUGAGAAUGCAGCCUCUCCCUCCAACACCUUGAAUGUAACCCCAAGAGACCCUGAGCAGAAGACACAGCCAAGCAGUGCCCAGACUUCGCCAAUGGAAACUGUGGAAGAAUAAAUGUGUGCUGUUGGGAGCUGA